GAGUUGGUAGUUCAGUGGUAGAGUGCAUGCAUUGUGUCUAUGAUGUACUGGGUUCAAUCCCCAGCUUUUCCC